rnacentral:rRNA from 1 species
AACGAACGCUGGCGGCAUGCCUAACACAUGCAAGUCGAACGGGAUCCUGGUUUCGGCCAGGUGAGAGUGGCGGACGGGUGAGUAACGCGUGGGAACCUGCCCAGUGGUGGGGGAUAACUGCGGGAAACUGCAGCUAAUACCGCAUGGGCCCGAGAGGGGAAAGAUUUAUCGCCAGUGGAGGGGCCCGCGUUCGAUUAGGUAGUUGGUGGGGUAACGGCCUACCAAGCCGACGAUCGAUAGCUGGUCUGAGAGGAGGAUCAGCCACACUGGGACUGAGAUACGGCCCAGACUCCUACGGGAGGCAGCAGUGGGGAAUAUUGGACAAUGGGGGCAACCCUGAUCCAGCAAUGCCGCGUGAGUGAUGAAGGCCUUCGGGUUGUAAAGCUCUUUUGCCAGGGACGAUGAUGACGGUACCUGGAGAAUAAGCCCCGGCUAACUUCGUGCCAGCCGCCGCCGUAAUAC